UGCUAGAAGGGGGAACAUGGCAGGCACUGUCCUCCUCAUCUUUCUCCUUUGAAUGUGGACACAAUACCUGGGCUGCUACAGCCAACCUGUGACUAUGACUAAAGGUCACGAGAAUUCCAGAAACUUCAGCCCUGACAUUUUUAGCUGAAAAAGGUCAGAUCCACCAAAGACUAGAGUUGGCCCAGCAACCAGGGAGCAUGUACUGUGUGAAGGACAGUUCACUUGGAGAUUUAUUCAUGAUGCUGAAUCUAGUUGAUGCCCAAAUGGAUAGCUUGAAGCUCAAAAAUCUGCCUCUACCUAAGGGUCAUUAGCGUUGCCAAACGUAACAAAACGCACCACGCUGCCAACACUGCCCAGCGC